AUGCCCCACUCUGCCCCCGAUGCGCUGGUCCACACCGAGCCCGGUGCUUACUGCCUGCUGUAUGCCCGAGAGGGCAGCAAGUCAGGGAGUCGCCUUGUUCACGGAACCUCUGUUCUGGACCAGACCCUGCACCAGGGCCCAAAGCUGUGUAACUGUGAUUCAGCCCCCUGCAGCUGCUUGCCAGGCUCGGGGUGGGUCCCUGCAUCCUGGCUGGCAUCUUCUGUUGAACGAAAGGACGCCAGAGCUCCAAGGAGCGAAGAGACACAGGCUCCGAGUCUCCAGCCCACUGGUGUCAUCUUUGAGGGCUUUGGUCCAGGCCUGGCUGGUCUGGCCUCAGCCACGGCCCCAGGGGGCCCCACCUCAAAGUCUCUAGAACCUGUAUCUGACCGGCAGGUUUCAGAUGGCCUUGGGAGAGGUGUCUCGCUAACCCUGCGCCCGACUAGCGGGCCUCUGGGAACUUGGCAGAUGCAGAUUAGAAAUACCAGCGAGCAUCAUUGUUGUCUUUCUGGGAACUCAUUCCCAUGAGAUCAGAACCUCUUCGAAAGAAGAAGAAGAAGGUAGAUCCUAAAAAAGACCAAGCAGCAAAGGAGCACUUGAAAACAAGGAUCCGAAAACUGGAAAAGGCUAGUCAAGAGCUAAUUCCUAUUGAAGAUUUUAUUACCCCUCUAAAGUUCUUGGAUAAAGCAAGACAGCGGCCUCAGGUGGAGCUCACCUUUAAGGAGACUGAGAGGAGAGCUCUGCUUCUGAAGAAGUGGUCCUUGUACAAGCAGCAAGAGCAUAAGAUGGAGAGGGACACCAUCAGGGCCAUGCUAGAAGCCCAGCAGGAAGCUCUGGAGGAACUGUGACUCGAGUUCCCGAAGCUCCAUGCUGAGGCCAUCAAGCGGGAUCCCAACCUGUUCCCCUUUGAGAGGGAAGGGCCAUGUUACACACCACCGAUCCCUAACUACCAGCCCCGUGAAGGCAAGUACAGUGACGUCACCAAGGUGUACACACAAGUGGAGUUUAAGAGAUAGACUUGCAGGCUGCUAUCCUUAACAUGCUGCCCCUGAGAGUAGGAAUGACCAGGGUUCAAGUCUGCUUUCCGCAGAAUCAGUCAUGCUGUUAAUAAAUACUGG